UCGUGUAUUUGCACAAGAUUACACGUGUAGCAAAGAUAAAGUGCAUAUCUUGCGAUUUUAUCUUGAGCGUUCAUAUGCUGCAGCAAAUAGCGCUCGGCUUGGUCUCAAUUUGCGUAAAUAACAACACGUUGGCUCAACAUUCUCUUUGCUACGAUUUAAUUUUGUAGUAAUAAACAACGGUAAGGUACAGUUUGAAGCAAUUACUUUUACUAUAACCAAAUUGGGAUUACACUAUAAAUUCACUAAAAUGAUGGACUAAAUAAAUAACAACUAUCAUAAGUUUUCUUGAAACAGGGAGGCCAAGUAGAUGUGACAUCAAUUGUUAAUGACAAGAUAUAAUCAUAAAUAGGUGUUGUACCGAUAAAAGAUUAAUUAUCUAAAUUAAAAUAACAACUAGGAAAUGGCAAAUAACACUAAAAUCUUAACGCGUACCUAAUGAACUCGAUCUAACUGAGAAAAUGUAGCAGCAAUGUAAGAACUUACAAUUAUGAUGAUUGAAGGUAGUCCUGCCACUUCCUGCUAUAAACCGGGCUAGAUGCGGAAGCGCGAACACCGGCUCCGAUAAUAUCUAUAAUCUAACGUCAAUCAACUUCAAGCACUAGCAAGUAAGCCCUAAUGCAUUCCAGAUCAGGCAUUGUCUAACUUUAACAACAAAACAAAAAUAGAGAACGUUUCACUAUAAGAUAAUAAUAUUUUUUAUAAAAAAUCUGCCAAAUGGCAAUCGCAGGUUUGAUCGUAUUUACGAUUUAUUAAUCGAUUCGAUAUAUCGUGAUUACUGAACCGGGAUACAUGAACCGCGUGCGCGCGCGCUGCCCGAGGCGCAAGCGCUGACGGAAUGCGCGCGCAGCAACCACCUCUGGAGGCUGUGGCGCCGGCGCCGCGUCCUCUCCUCUCGUAUAAAAAUAGAAAGUCACAACCCGUACACGCUCCUUUUAUUUUUACCCUGGCAUUACCCGGCGAUUAUCUGCAUCAGUUGAUCGUAUCUAUGCAUCGAGCGCGAGAACACUUUCAAUUAUAUUCAUCGUAAUUCAGAAUUGAGACGGACAGUGAAAUUAUUUUGACCACACCAGCUCGUAAGGCUCUCUUUUUACUUCAAAAACUAAUAAAAAAAUUGUAUAUUAUCCACAACAGUGGCAAAGUAAUAUGAUGCGAAUUUUGAGUUGUUUCCCUAUGUAGGCUGGUGGAAUUAACUUUUAGGUGAUGAUUUUGAAUAAUAUAUAUUUAAUGGCGUCCAUGUCGAUGUAUUUUAUAAAGUUUCAUAUUGAGUAGUUUCCUCUCGUUAGAGUGGUGAAAUUUUUUGUUUCACUCGGUAUAGCAGUUUAUUCAACCCUAAUGCCUUGGAACCCUUGCAGCUCUCAAGAUUCCAAAUUUAAAAUCUUUCGCUUGCUCGGGUAUUAAUAUUAGCACGAGGGGGUAACAACAACUUAGCCCCAUUUGAAAACAAAAAACUAUUUAAUAAGCAGUUUAUACACGUAGUUUAAAUCAGAAUCUAAGCUCGCAUCAGAUAACCGGUAUCACUUGAACUGUAGGUAUUUGAUCUAUUGUGAACUGUAACAAAAUUAUUACUUUUCUUAAAUACCUAAUUUGGCAAGUAUUUGUUUUAAGAGCACUUGUUCCGUUAAGUAAUGACAAGAUUUUUGAGGCUCAAUAAAACACCAAUCGGAAGCUUCGACGAUAAUAUAGAUAUCCAAAAUUUAGUAUGUCAAACGAUGAUUGAAUCCUAAAUAUGAUGAUACUAACAAAAACUAGAUUAAUAUUUAUCUGUAAAUAAAUAUAGAUCGUGUCAUUCACGUCGACGCGUGCCUUGACUCGUAUUGUCAUUUUAUUAAAGGUUAGAUUUGACUAAUCUGCGCGUCAUCGUGGAAGACACGAACUAUACCAAUUAAUUUAGAAACAAUGCAAGUUACGAAAAGUUUCAGCAUGUUAAAUUUUAACAAUGAUUAAUUAUCUAAUACAUUUUUACAUUGGAACACCGUUAGAAUAUCUGUAGCUGCUUUAGAAAUUACUCUCAAGUAAUAUCUACAUUAAUAGGUAACUGACCUUCGAUGCAAUAUUUAUGAAAGAUCAAGAAGGUAAUCUCAAUUAAAAGAGGAAAGUAACGACUUGAUGAACAGAUUGUCGCUAAUGCGCUGUAUAAUUAAAGUUAAUUUCAUAAAUCGCGUUAACGCAGCGGAUAAGCUACAGCCUAGCAAUUAUUGAA